rnacentral:lncRNA from 1 species
UGCCCCAACUUUCUCACUUGUUUUUACCUCUGAGAUCUUAGGAGCUAAGACUGUAGGGGUGGCUGUGGGAAUUCCAGCAUGCACAGUGUGGUUUGAAAUCCACAGACAAGGGAGCAUGGCUUCCUUCCUUGGCCUGCUGCCCCAUGCGCGGUGAGCAGAGCAGCCAAGCCAAAGUGGCAGCCGUGGUGUGGGAGCCCAGCUCUGCUGCCAUAAAUUAGCCAGGGGCAGGAAGGAGCAGUGAGAGUCAGCGGUUUCAACUACCUAGUAGUUCAUUUUUGUUCUUGUUUUUCAGUUAGCAAUCUGUAAAAUUUAUUACAAAAUUAAGCUCCCUGCUCCAGAGUCAAUAAUAUUCCUGGUGCCAGGUGGUGUAAUAAUUCACAAAAAGGGCAGGAGUUGGAGAGAAUGAGACUGAUUUAGGAAGUAGACUUCCAAGCCCGAUUUGCUGCUGCCUACUCCCUGCUGCUAAAGGUCAGAAAAAAAGAGGAAAGGAAGUAAAAUUAUUUGUGUUUCAAAGAUAAGGAUUUGCAUCUUAGAGAAGAUUAAACCUUCAACACUGGUGAAGGAAAGGGGUCGUCUCUUCACCUCUGGUGGACCUUGUUUGUCAGCAUUAUUUCCCAACCUCCGGGCAUGGCCUUUUGAUGUGACCUACAGGAAGAUGAGGAGCCUUGGGAGAGUUGCAUGCCAGAGGGCAGAGAAAUCACACAUCAGCCAGUCCCAGGACAAGAAGUGAAAUGAUGCUUUUUAAGUCGAGGGGUCUGACUUUUUACAGGUCACUAAACCCAAAGCGAUUGCAACAAAGAAAAUAAGAUUCACAUUAGGCACAACUUAAGUAUUUUUAAUUUAAAAAACCCACAAAAACACAGUAAAAGAAAGAAGAAGCCAGAAGCCAGAGUUCUAAGUAGCAGCAAUUUUGUAAUUAGAUUUUUUUAGUUUAAAAUGUUCAUGUAUUUCAUUAUAUUUUAAUAAAAUUUUAAUGCUUAUUUGAGUACUUAAAAGUGUUGUCAUAUUUAGUGUCCAUCAGUCUACAGAAAUAGUUAAAAAGUCAUCAAGAUUUUUGUAUAACAACUGAGGCAAACUUAGUUUAGAAUGACUCCCUGAAUUAUUUAUUACUUUUGAGGAAGUAGAUAUAAUCGGGUAGGUUUUACCCUAAUAGAAAGGAAUAUAUACCACUGGAGCAUGAAAAGGAUAAUAUUUUUUUGGUUUUCCCAGGAUUUAUUACAAUAAUUAGAUUUACCAUAAUCAAUAAAAUGUGUGAGUCAAGUUUAUUGAAGUGUCAAUUUCCCAUUGCAUAAUUUCCCCUGAGAACUUUAAUUUUUAAUUCAAAAAGAAAAGUGGAAGAUUUGUCUUACAGAUGCCAGUGAAUGUGUGAGGGUAAAGAAAGCUCAGGAGUCCUUACAGAAAUCAAAGUGGGACUUAGAACAUUCCUUUACCACUCCUUCCCACAUCCCUUGGCUGACCAUUAAUUUUCCAGGCGAAUGAGAUCUUGAAAUGGCCCAGGUACAGAUCUCUUUGCCUAAAUUUCAGAAAGAUGUAUUGGACAGUAAGAUUUGAUGACUUUUACAUCAUCAUCCCCAACAAUCAAGAGCACUCAGGGCUGGGGAACACUGUGAUUGGCUUACAUAAUUUGAACAAUAAAAGGAAAUGAGUCCAUUAGUUAGUCUAUUGGCAUAAUUUACAACUAUGUAUAUCACUAUUUUAAAUGGAAUGUGGGUCCUUCUGGAUUUAAAAAAUGAAGCUACACUAAUGAAGAUGAAGACAUUUAUUGGCAAUAUGCCGACUUUUUGGGUAAUGAUUAUAUAAUACAUGGAUUAGAAUGAUUGCAAAAAUAUCCCUGAUUCUCUACCUUUCCC